rnacentral:rRNA from 1 species
GAAAGAGAGAGAGAGAGAGAGAGGGAGGGAGGCAGAUGAGAAUGAUGGUUUAAUCUGUGCCUUCUCUUGUUUAUUAUUACUGUUAUAUAUGACCCUGACCUCGGAUCAGACGUGAUUACCCGCUGAACUUAAGCAUAUCACUAAGCGGAGGAAAAGAAACUAACCAGGAUUCCCCCAGUAACGGCGAGUGAACGGGGAUUAGCCCAGCACCGAAGCCUGUGACUAAUUGGUUACUAGGCAAUGUGGUGUUUAGGUCAUCUCUUGGCAUUAUUGCUCCACUCUAAGUCCAGCAAUGAGUACGGCUUACUGGAAUGGCCCAUAGAGGGUGAAA